CAACCCAUCAAGCUUCUGCUUGGUCUUGGGGCCUGCGGUUUCGCAGCCUCUAAACUCAGUGGCGGUGCUAUUGAGCUCUGAGCGUAGUAAUUUUUUCUCGCUAUAGGGUCUCGGUGGUGACUUGCCAGCAACCCCCAAUUUUUAUCAGG
rnacentral:misc_RNA from 1 species